CACCUGUACCUACAUUCCUGUGGGUCUGUUCCUCCUCUGAGAUAUACUUCAGCCUUGAUCGUCAUGUUAUGUAGCAUCCUUUGCUCCCUGAAAGAAAAUUCGCUUAAUUGUAAUUUUGUUACAUCUUCCAGAUGAGAACCUGAAAACCAGCUGCAGAAGGAGACACGAGCACCACAAAACCUGAAACAUUUAAUUGGUGAGCCACUUUUAGGAGGAGCCUACCCAGUAACCAAGUCAGAUUUUAAAAGAAUUA
rnacentral:lncRNA from 1 species